GUUUGUGGCCAUACUGCCUGAACGUGCCUGAUCUUGUCUGAACUCAGAAGUUAAGCAGGGUUGGACCUGGUUAGUACUUGGAGGGGAGAAAUGCUCAACACCCUCACCAUAAGGGAGAUGCAGAUUAAAACC
rnacentral:rRNA from 1 species